rnacentral:rRNA from 1 species
UACGUAGGGGGCUAGCGUUGUCCGGAAUCAUUGGGCGUAAAGAGCGUGUAGGCGGCCCGGUAAGUCCGCUGUAAAAGUCAAAGGCUCAACCUUUGAAUGUCAGUGGAUACUGCCGGGCUAGAGUCCGGAAGAGGCGAGUGGAACUCCUGGUGUAGCGGUGGAAUGCGCAGAUAUCAGGGAAGAACACCAACGGCGAAGGCAGCUCGCUGGGACGGUACUGACGCUGAGACGCGAAAGCGUGGGGAGCGAACAGG